UGAAGGUAAUCUUGUGGGAGCGCGAUGGCUACCUGAAUGAGUCACCCAGCAGUGAUACCCAUCGCUGCUAAAGUAGGCCAGUGCUGUGUGUGAUGGGAAGCUGUCAGUGCUGGUUUCAGUUACCCCUGAGCUGUCUCAGAAGCUCCAGCCCGCAGGCUCAGAGGGGCUGUUGUGCCGUGCCCGUGGGGUGCAGCGGGUCCCCUGCAGCUGUGAGCCCUGGCAGAGCUCUGCCCCCCGCUGCGUGGCACAGGGGUGAGACGAGGGGUCGGAGCUGCAGCCGUGGGGCAGCUGUCUGGUGCUCUCAGCGUACGGCGAGUUCCUGGGCCUGCUGCUGUGUUAGGGAAGCAGAUUGGGGCUUUGAGUGAUUUCAGAUGGUAUCUUUUGGGUUGCUCUCGGGGGAAAGGCAGCUUUUAUUUCAUGGCUUACUUUCAUUUAAAAAUGACCUGAACAUUUUUACCUUUACAUUUUACCUUUGCUUCACCUUUACUUCGUGGUAGCUCUCGGGCUCACAAGACUCAAAGCUGCCCUGCACUGGGAAACACUCAAGUGUGUAGCUAAGAAAACGUGGCACAAAGGAAAGCUUCAGCCCUUCAAUGAGGCUGAAAAAAAUAGUGUCGCCUUCCCACCCAGUUGAGGCAGUUAAAUGUUGGGCAGGCCUUGGCAUUUUCAUGAGCCAGCGUGAGGGUACAGAGGCCGUGAUGCCGUGGCAGAAAUCUGGGCUGCUUCUCUGGCUUAAGCGGAGCGCAGGUAUGUGUUUUGGUCCUGGGGGAUUUUGGGUUGUUUGCUUUUGUGUUUUAUUUUCUCCAGACUCUGUCUAAAAGCAGGUGGCAGAACUUUGGCAUUUUAAGAACUCUGAGGAGCAAAGUCCCGUGCUGGAAAGCAGCCUUGGUAAAUCCCCAGCUGUGGGGGAGGCGGGAGCUGGGUCUCACCCUGCAGUCCAAAACAAGGGGUGACCUAAUGGCAACGUGCCAGGGUUCAAAUCCAGUGAGGAUUUGAAAGAGAAACGAGUUUUGGUAGUGCUACACUGGAUGAGGUACCAUGACUCACAGCUGGAAUGGCUCGGGCUGGGUGUUAGGGGUAGGAGAGCAGACCCCCUCCCCAGUCUGCUGUGAACUGGCAUCCCUCAGCACCACGGCAGGAUCAGUUCAGAGCAGUUCAGUGCUGUGGCUUUGGCACUGCUACCUGCCAGGCUGUACAUAUAGGUGCAUCCUCAGGCCUCUGCUAUCUCCCCUGCUGUUUUCUGCUGCCUGCUACAACCAUCUGCAUAGCCUGAGGUUUACAAAAACCUUGUGCACAUCAUUGUUGAUGUCGUGGGUGACUGACUCAGGCUGGCCAUCCCUGGCACUGCCCACGCUGCCAGCUCCUGGCUGCUGUUGCAGUUGGAAUGCCACCGGCCACACCUUCCUCCCACUGCAGGAAGCUGCCAUUGUUAAAAGCAGGGCAUGUUCCUGUUCAACCAAAACGCUGAGAUCAAGUAAUCCAAAGGCCUCCAUGAUGCCUAACAAAUUCCUGCCCAAGACUAGCGAAUGUGUGCAGCUGCAGCUCUGUAAGCCCUGCCCUCAGCAUCCACAGGCUGCUGUCUCACACAUCACUCUGUAAGGGACAGAAGGAGCAAAGAGGCAGGGGCAGGGGAAUGUAGAAGUAAGACAGCACAAUGUCCUUCAGUUUACCAACCCCAAGCCCUGAGAGCUGCUUUUAAAUGCAAAGCUAGGUUUUUCCAAUGCUGAUGUGGGAUAGCUUUGUCCUCUGUCAGCUCCCUCUCACCCACAAAACACUCAGCAAGAUGAUGUGUUCCAGCAGAAACCUCUUUGGGCGCAGAAUUCCCAGCCAGCUCCACUCCAGGAACAGCAGCAGGAACAGUUGCCUCUUAGCCCACCUGCCAGGACUGUUUCCCCAAACUCUCACCAACCAGAGGGGGGGUAAUUUUUAACAUAUUCUUUUAUUCUGCAUGGUGUAAUAGAGAAUCACCCUUAAAAAACCCCCUCACUUAACUCCUGGCUAUAGUAAAACUGUUGUCUGCACUGACUGCAAAUGAGGAGGGCAGUGACAGGAACUGGCAAGCUUUUAGUGUUUGCUUAUUUACAAUUAAUGUAAUUUUGCAUAUGGGAAGGCUGAAUUAGAUAAAGGUUAAACAGUUUGACUUACAUUGUAUGUGGAGUCGAAGCUGACAGGGAAACUCAGGAGUUCUUUGCUCCCAGAUUUUACUCAGGUUGUGCCUCUUGUUUAAUUAUAGUCACUGAGCCUCCAGUCAAUUAGUGAGACAUAUCCACCAGCUGAAGGAGGAGUGGCUUUUAGAGGAAAUUGGUGGGAACUCGUUGGAAGAGGCACUUUCUGUCAGUUUUCAAAGGAAAGCAGAAAUAAGGAUUGGAAACAUUUAGGUUGAGGGGUUUUUUUUCUGAGAGGUUUCUUGUUUUCCAGACAAGGUUUGUUAGUGAAUGCCAGGGAAACAGGCAGCACUUGUGUGUGUCAUCCUCCCAGGGAUCCCUGCCAGGAGGAGGAAGAACAGGUAGGCACACAAGUAACCCUAAAAACCCUUCUGAAACAGUGGUGAGGUUGAUUCUGUGCCCCUGCUUGGGCAGAUGUGGCUGUGCACAAAGCUGGCGGUGGGGAUGUUUCAUAGUCCUCUUUGGGGGUGAUUGAGUGGAACAGGGUGGAACAACUGGUGUGGAGAUCAAAAGGCUGCAAAGCCAGAGGGCUUCCUCCCCAGGAGCCGUGGGGAUGUGUUGGCUUUGGGUAGUCACAGGCAAUAAAGCAGACCCUGAAUGCAGCCGGCAGGUGACACCCUGGCCCUCCCUUUGAAAGCCUGGAGUCCUGGGAUUGACCCUGUGAGUCACAGCAGCGUUGUGGUUGGAAAAGAUCUUUAAGAUCCCGGAGUCCAACCCCUCACCUCACGCUGCCCUAGAGCUGUGAAGCCUCGGAAAAUCCCAGCUGGGAGAGCCGAGAUCCUUUUCAAAGCAGUGGCAGCACUCAAACACACCAGCUGCUUCAAAGCUGAGCUUGUGCCCUGUCUUGAAGGUGGGUUGGAGGUACUCGGCAUCCCCUCAGCGCUGGGCACAGCUGCCCAGACCACAGGCAGAGGGAGCGGGGGCAGCCGUGCUCCUGAGCCGCAGCGUCUGCUUAGUUCCAAACCGAAGGAGCCAACAGCGUGGAGACAAAAGUCAUUAUUUCAGCUAUUAGUUGCUAAGAAUAGAGGCGGCGGGGGUGCAGUGCAGGGCUGAGGGGCACUGGCAGCACAGGCAGGAGCAGGGAUUGCAGUGGGAGCACAGAAAUAGCUGUUCUCCACGCUCAGCACUUUGAAGCUUCAUGAGUCACUAAAAUACACUGGCGGGGGUGUGGAGGGGAAUACUGCCUGCCCCUGCACGUGAGGCAGAAGCUGCCCCUGCAACUGCUGUUUUCUGGAGAGCAGCCUUUUGCCGAGGAGCCUUUUCCUGGCCCCGCCACUGCAGAGCACGGCUGUCCCGAGGAACCCUUCAGAGCUGGGAUGUGAAGGUAUGGAUCCCCUGCCCGGGGGCAGCACAGCCUGUGGGGGGCUGCCCAUGCACCUCCCCGGCCCCUCACCCCUCCAGGAACAUUUGCCAAAGCCAAACAUGAGCGGGGGAGGGGUCAGUGGGACGGAGGAAUCUAUUGAUCCCACUCCAACUGUGUCUCACGGUGUUUUCCCGACUCACUGCUAAUCUGACUUGAAGUUCCUUUUACAAAUACACUCUAAAAGGUUAAAGGUAUGAUAACGAGGGGCUCAGCCACUGUGAGGUGCUCAGCUGGACGCUCAGAGGUGUCUUUCACGUCCUGUCCUGAUGCUAUUUAGCAACGGUCAUACUGGUCUCAGUGCCUGGUGUUGGGAGAGCUCGGGAGAGGCAAUUCUGUGCUGUUUGCGCAGCCCAGGGUACAGCACAUUCCUGACCUAUGGCUGGGUUCCCAAACUACUUAGUAAAAUGAAUAAUAACGAUAGUAGAAGUUGUACAACUGUGUUUUUUAAUGCAGAAACCUUUGUGUUCCGUCAGCAUUUAGUAAUACUUUGGGUUACCUCAGAGCUGGAUUUUCCAGCUGGGGAGGGGGAGAAAGAAAAAAACCCACCAUUCCCAAGUGACACAAACACAAACCCCCAACAAACUGCAAGCUGAGACGUCUGUGUCAGUCCUGCGUUGCAGCAGCAUAAAGAGUCCAUCUAGAUAGAACUGAACAUCUCAGCUGGAGCACGGACAGGGCAGCAGACAGCGUGCUAAAAAUAGAUUAAUCCUAAUUACAGCCACCCUUCUGCUUUUUCAAGGUUUCCCGUUUCACUGGGACGCUGGAGGGGGGUCGCUGGGGCCGGGGGCACCCGGUGCCCGCGUUGCAUAAGCCGGGAACACGGCGUCCCGGGGGAGCCGGCGGUGACGGCAGCGCCGCGGCCCAGCCCCGCAGCCCGCGACGGCUCUGGCCGGCAGCACAACUGGCCCCAGCCGCUGGCGAACGGCUCCAGUAUAAGUAGGUUAAACAUGAGAGCCCCUCUGCUCGAGAUGGAUCUCGGUCUGCCCACAUCAGUCUGCUCACAUCGGUCUGCUCACAUCGGUCUGCUCACAUCGGUCUGCACACGCUGCUGCUGCUGCUGCGAAAAACAGCCAGCGACUGACAUUCUUCAUGAAGGAAAUCUUAAAGGCACAGGAGUCGGCCGUCACCAUGUGCCCAAAACGAGGGACAGCUGAGCAGCCUGGCUGAGCACAGCUUUGGCUGGGAAAAGGAGCGUCUGUGACCUCUGGGAGAUGGGACGGGCCACUUGGGAGCACUCUGAGGAUGUGCAGUCCCAGUGCACCAGGGACAUCCCAGUGGAUUGGAACAUGACCAUCUACAAAGAAGGGCUGGAAGGAGGAUUUGUGGAACUACAACCCUGUCAGCCUGACCUCAGUACCAGGAAGGUCAUGGAGCAGCUCUUCCUGAGUGCCAUCACACAGCACAUACAGGACAAGCAGGUGAUCAUGCCCAGCCAGCAUGGUUUAUGAAGGGCAGGUCCUGCCUGACCAACCUGACCUCCUUCUAUGAUGUGUGACCUGCUUUGUGGAUGAGGGGAAAGCUGUGUGUGUGUGUCUGAACUUUAGCAAAGCCUUUGACACCAUUUCUAGGCAAUGCUACAGGCUGGGGCAGAGGGGCUGGAAAGCUGCUCAGAGGAAAAGGACCUGGGAGGUUGGUCAACAGCAGCUGAACAUGGGCCUGCAGUGUGCCCAGGUGGCCAAGAAGACCAAGGGCAUCCUGGCUUGGAUCAGCAGUGGGGUGGCAGCAGGAGCAGAUUGUCGCUCUGUGCUGGGCCCUGGGGAGGCUGCACUCGAGUGCUGUGUUCAGUGUUGGGCCCCUCACUUUCCUCAACAGCUUGCUUAGCAUUCCUGUGCCACUGGGCAGAGAACAGACACCUCCUCCUCCCUUUGCCCUCUGCUUUACAGGAUGCAGAACGGUGACGCUGCUGCCUGUGUGCAGGGAGCCUCGGCCCUUAGAAACACCUCUGGAUCCACCUCCCCGUGUCUGCCAGCCCCUGCCUGGAGUGGCUGCUUUCAUAAGCACAGCGAGAGAUUGGGAAAUGUGCUGUGAUUCAUACGGAUCAGUCCCCCUCCCAGCCCGGCGCAGCACCCACGGGCGCCCGGGAGCUGCCAGACACGCACAGCGCCAGCCCCACGCCUGCCUGCAGCUCCUCCUCCAGCCCCAGCUGCCAACACGCUCCCAGCCUGUUCAGAACUCGGUGCCACAAAUUAUUUGUUCUUAUCUGAAAAAAUUCCUGGACUGCUUUUUUAUUUUUAUUGCAGAAAAAUGAUGGAAUUGAGAGAAGUUUCAUCAGGUCACAGGAACAAACCGACCCUGGUGUGAGGUGCUGCUGGGGAGCGGGGGCAGGACCGGCCUCAGCUGUAGCUCUGCCCCCUCCCAGCCUUCAAACUGGGACUCUAAGUUAUUUUGGCCAGGGAUAAACUGUCUUUGCUCAUACAGCACUGGGUCUCAGCUGAGGCUUCCAGAUGGUUCUAAGAAUAAGUAGUUUUAAGCUAUUAUCUUUUAAAAGUACUCAUACAAAAGAAGGACAAGAGGAGGUUCCUGCCCCAGCUGGGUUCUCCUCAAAACAGCCAAGAUGCAUUUUUUUCUAACUUUUGGUCAGUUGUUUCCUGCAGACAGAGACAACCCAGGAGACAACAGUUUAACAGGAGACAACAGUUUAACAGUUCAGAUAAGUAUUUUGCACUUCUGUAGCAGCAGUCCUUGGAGAAGCACUGUUAGCUCUGAAGUCCAAGUGAUUAACAAAAUCACAAUUAGUCUGCAGAAGUGUGUUUAUGCAGGAGCUGAUUUCUCUUCCCAGCCUGGAAUGAUUUCCCAAGCAAAUCUCAAGUAGUUGUUGAGCUUUUGUAUUUAUUUUUUUCCAAAGAGAAGCAUCAAUAUUGUCAUUUUUCAGGAUAUGGUGGGGAUUAUAUUACUUUGCCAAUUCUGAUUAGUCACAUUAGUCUCACUGUAGCCUUUUUUUUCCCCCCUCCAGAAUGGGAGACCUUGGUUUUGAGUGAUUUCUUUGUAUAAUAUAGAAAACAAACCAUUUAACGUUACAAAACAAAGCCCAUGAAGUGCUUUCAGCUUUGCUCAUGUUCCUGCCAACUAUUUUCUUCUUAAAAAAAAACCAAAAACCACCCAGCAGCUCCUGCUCUGCCUCCUUUUACUCCUUUAAAGGGGAAAGGAGUGCUGAGGAUCAGCUCUCCUAAGAAAUGACAGGGACUGGUUUCUAAGCCUCUAAGACAACUUCUAAUACUGUUCCUCCCCCUCAGAAAAACCAAGGCAGUAAGAAUAUAUUGUAAAUAAGGUACAAACUUUUAAGACUUCUUUAAAUACAGACUUUGAACAGAUGUAUUAUGAAGAGAUUAAUAGUUAAAUGCCAUUUCUUUGCCCAGUGACUGCACGGGACAGGAGCCUCUGCCCCUUACAUCCCUUCCCACAUGACCCCUUUGCAUUCCUCGGGUCUGGACUGUCAAAAAGAGGGACAGAAUACUUUGAAAGCCGAGAGUAUCUGCCCAGCAGCCCUCUCCAACUCCUCUUAUUGAUCCUGUGCUGUUUCUCUCAGGAGACAGGACCAGCCCAGGCACAGUCACAGACGGGCAGGAUGUGCUCCCUGCCGUCCAGCACUGCAGGUGACGGAAACAGCAGCAUCCCAAAGCAGCUCCAUGGAGCUCCCAAAUCUGUUCUUCACAGCUCUCCUUGGAGAAGAACCUUUUUCUGUUGGUUUUUUUUUUCAUUCCAGGCUUCAUUUCUCCCUUU